CCAAUAGCGUAUAUUAAAGUUGUUGCAGUUAAAAAGCUCGUAGUUGAAUUUCGGAAUCAAUAUAUCGGUCGUGCCUUGGUACGUACUGGUAUCAUUGGUUUCUCCUUUCUGACGAACCAUGAUGUCAUUAAUUUGGUGUUAUGGGAAGUUAGGACUGUUACUUUGAAAAAAUUAGAGUGUUUAAAGCAGGCUUUAGCUUGAAUACAUUAGCAUGGAAUAAUGAAAUAGGACGUUCGAACCUAUUUUGUUGGUUUCUAGGAUCAACGUAAUGAUUAAUAGGGGUAGUUGGGGGCAUUAGUAUUCAAUUGUCAGAGGUGAAAUUCUUGGAUUUAUUGAAGACUAACUACUGCGAAAGCAUUUGCCAAGGAUGUUUUCAUUAAUCAAGAACGAAAGUUAGGGGAUCGAAGACGAUCAGAUACCGUCGUAGUCUUAACCAUAAACUAUGCCGACUAGGGAUCGGAUGAUGUUAAUUUUUUAAUGACUCAUUCGGCGCCUUACG
rnacentral:rRNA from 1 species